rnacentral:rRNA from 1 species
CGGGUGCUUGCACUCGUGGAUCAGUGGCGAACGGGUGAGUAACACGUGAGUAACCUGCCCUCCACUCUGGGAUAAGCGCUGGAAACGGCGUCUAAUACUGGAUACGACCGACCCUCGCAUGGGGUGUUGGUGGAAAGAUUUAUCGGUGGUGGAUGGACUCGCGGCCUAUCAGCUUGUUGGUGGGGUAAUGGCCUACCAAGGCGACGACGGGUAGCCGGCCUGAGAGGGCGACCGGCCACACUGGGACUGAGACACGGCCCAGACUCCUACGGGAGGCAGCAGUGGGGAAUAUUGCACAAUGGGCGAAAGCCUGAUGCAGCGACGCCGCGUGAGGGAUGACGGCCUUCGGGUUGUAAACCUCUUUCAGCAGGGAAGAAGCUUUUGUGACGGUACCUGCAGAAGAAGCACCGGCUAACUACGUGCCAGCAGCCGCGGUAAUACGUAGGGUGCGAGCGUUGUCCGGAAUUAUUGGGCGUAAAGGGCUUGUAGGCGGUUUGUCGCGUCUGCUGUGAAAAUUCAGGGCUUAACCCUGGACGUGCAGUGGGUACGGGCAGACUAGAGUGUGGUAGGGGAGACUGGAAUUCCUGGUGUAGCGGUGGAAUGCGCAGAUAUCAGGAGGAACACCGAUGGCGA